GAUGAACGCUAGCGGCAGGCCUAAUACAUGCAAGCCGAACGGCAAGUUUGAUAGCAAUAUUGGACCUAGAGUGGCGCAAGGGUGCGUAACACGUAUGCAACCUGCCCGCGACAGGAGGAUAGCUCCCCGAAAGGGGAAUUAACCCUCCAUAACACCAUGAGAAGGCAUCUGAUUAUGGUUAAACCGCAAGGGGUCGCGGAUGGGCAUGCGGUUGAUUAGCUAGUUGGCGGGGUAAAGGCCCACCAAGGCGGUGAUCAAUAGGGGUUCUGAGAGGAAGGUCCCCCACACUGGCACUGAGAUACGGGCCAGACUCCUACGGGAGGCAGCAGUAGGGAAUAUUGGACAAUGGUUGCAAGACUGAUCCAGCCAUGCCGCGUGCAGGAAGAAGGCCUUCUGGGGCGGAAACUGCUUUUUCCUGUGGAUAAAAUACCCGUGCGCGGGGAAUUGAAGGUAACAGGGGAAUAAGCCACGGCUAACUACGUG
rnacentral:rRNA from 1 species